AACUCGGUUUUCUUCAGCGGUGUUUGGACCAGCCUGUCCGUGCCGCACCCCCGCACCCAGGGCAGACCCCUUCUCGCCGCCGUCUUCUGUGUUGGGGUUGAAACCCACCACCUCGCCGCUGAUUUCGGUGGGAUCCGCAGUCACUUAUGGGCCUUGUUUGACAAGCUACCACGCAGAGCUGGGGCUUCCAGUAAUUCCUGGGGUGUUCUCGCUGAUUCUGAAUCUGAUCCCGGGUGAAGUCGGGGGGAAAGUCUCCUACUGACGUCGAUUAACAUCUGGAGACGCGAGAACGUUGGUCUUGCCCCGUCUCUUGCAUCCCAUCGCGGCCGAGAACAGGAGAUGCUAUGAAGUCUCAAUGCUGAAAGGAAGACGCUAGUCCAGACUCCGGCAUUCAAGGUCGAAUUUGGGGGCUGUGCCCCUCACUCCUGUGCUCAAUAGCAACGGAUGCCCCCUUUCCUCUAAGUCUCAGCUCCCUCCACAUUUGGACGUCCCACGUAUUAAUGACACGCUGGGGGGGAAAAGAACUUCCUUGUGUUCAUUCCAAAGCUACUCGUUUCAUUUGAUGACCCCUAGUUUUUGCUCUGCGAGAGAGUCAACGAUCAAUCCCUUCCGACUUACUCUUCACCAUUCAGUAUUGUUGUAACCGCUUCUCGUGUCCCCCCUCAAGCAUCUCUUUUCUAAACAAGCCCUCGACUCUCUCAUCUCUCCUCAUAUAGCUGAGGUUAAGGCCAUCACCGUGAGGCUUGUGGCGAGGGUGGCCAACAUCUGGAACGGGCUGCCCACGGAGGUGGUGCUCUCUCCGACCUUGGGGGUCUUCAAGAGGAGGUUGGACAUGCACCUGGUUGGGUUGUCUACCCCCAGGGCAGGAGGUUGGACUCGAUGAUCUACUGAGGUCCCUUCUGACCCAAACAACCAUGAAAUCUAUGGAUGCCCCUGUAUACCUCUCAUCAUCCUUGUUGCCCUUCUCCGGACCUUCUCAUGAACUUCUUUUCCUAAUUAAAGACCGUGCAUCUGGA